GUCGAGCGGACAGAUGGGAGCUUGCUCCCUGAUGUUAGCGGCGGACGGGUGAGUAACACGUGGGUAACCUGCCUGUAAGACUGGGAUAACUCCGGGAAACCGGGGCUAAUACCGGAUGGUUGUUUGAACCGCAUGGUUCAAACAUAAAAGGUGGCUUCGGCUACCACUUACAGAUGGACCCGCGGCGCAUUAGCUAGUUGGUGAGGUAACGGCUCACCAAGGCAACGAUGCGUAGCCGACCUGAGAGGGUGAUCGGCCACACUGGGACUGAGACACGGCCCAGACUCCUACGGGAGGCAGCAGUAGGGAAUCUUCCGCAAUGGACGAAAGUCUGACGGAGCAACGCCGCGUGAGUGAUGAAGGUUUUCGGAUCGUAAAGCUCUGUUGUUAGGGAAGAACAAGUACCGUUCGAAUAGGGCGGUACCUUGACGGUACCUAACCAGAAAGCCACGGCUAACUACGUGCCAGCAGCCGCGGUAAUACGUAGGUGGCAAGCGUUGUCCGGAAUUAUUGGGCGUAAAGGGCUCGCAGGCGGUUUCUUAAGUCUGAUGUGAAAGCCCCCGGCUCAACCGGGGAGGGUCAUUGGAAACUGGGGAACUUGAGUGCAGAAGAGGAGAGUGGAAUUCCACGUGUAGCGGUGAAAUGCGUAGAGAUGUGGAGGAACACCAGUGGCGAAGGCGACUCUCUGGUCUGUAACUGACGCUGAGGAGCGAAAGCGUGGGGAGCGAACAGGAUUAGAUACCCUGGUAGUCCACGCCGUAAACGAUGAGUGCUAAGUGUUAGGGGGUUUCCGCCCCUUAGUGCUGCAGCUAACGCAUUAAGCACUCCGCCUGGGGAGUACGGUCGCAAGACUGAAACUCAAAGGAAUUGACGGGGGCCCGCACAAGCGGUGGAGCAUGUGGUUUAAUUAGAAGCAACGCGAAGAACCUUACCAGGUCUUGACAUCCUUUGACAAUCCUAGAGAUAGGACGUCCCCUUCGGGGGCAGAGUGACAGGUGGUGCAUGGUUGUCGUCAGCUCGUGUCGUGAGAUGUUGGGUUAAGUCCCGCAACGAGCGCAACCCUUGAUUUUAGUUGCCAGCAUUCAGUUGGGCACUCUAAGGUGACUGCCGGUGACAAACCGGAGGAAGGUGGGGAUGACGUCAAAUCAUCAUGCCCCUUAUGACCUGGGCUACACACGUGCUACAAUGGACAGAACAAAGGGCAGCGAAACCGCGAGGUUAAGCCAAUCCCACAAAUCUGUUCUCAGUUCGGAUCGCAGUCUGCAACUCGACUGCGUGAAGCUGGAAUCGCUAGUAAUCGCGGAUCAGCAUGCCGCGGUGAAUACGUUCCCGGGCCUUGUACACACCGCCCGUCACACCACGAGAGUUUGUAACACCCGAAGUCGGUGAGGUAACCU
rnacentral:rRNA from 1 species